AAUACCUCUGGCCACUGAUUUGUCCAUAGUCCUCAUACAGGAAAUAACAAGUCUGUCCAGCAUCUUCAUAAGCCUGGAUUGCUCACCAGCUUUGACUCCAGCUCCUGUACGCAUCUCCUGAAUUAAGCAACACAGAAGGGUUCUCUGAAGUCACUGAAUCCCAGAAAGGCCCUCCACCUUUAGCACAAGGGAAGUCUUCACCACUGGACAAAGGAGAAAAAGAUAAGGGGUCACCAGACUAGGGUUUCUGAGCAUGGAUCCAACCAUCUCAACCUUGGACACAGAACUGACACCAGUCAAAGGAACUGAGGAGACUCUUUGCUACAAGCAGACCUUGAGCCUCAUGGGGCUGACGUGCAUCGUUUCCCUUGUCGGGCUGACAGGAAACGCGGUUGUGCUCUGGCUCCUGGGCUUCCGCAUGCGCAGGACCGCCUUCUCCAUCUACAUCGUCAACUUGGCCGCAGCAGACUUCCUCUUCCUCAGCGGCCGCCUUAUAUAUUCCCUGUUAAGCUUCAUCAGUAUCCCCCAAACCAUCUCUAAAAUCCUCUAUCCUGUGAUGAUGUUUUCUUACUUUGCAGGCCUGAGCUUUCUGAGUGCCGUGAGCACCGAGCGCUGCCUGUCCGUCCUGCGGCCCAUCUGGUACCGCUGCCACCGCCCCACACACCUGUCAGCGGUGGUGUGUGUCCUGCUCUGGGCCCUGUCCCUGCUGCGGAGCAUCCUGGAGUGGAUGUUAUGUGGCUUCCUGUUUAGUGGUGCUGAUUCUGCUUGGUGUCAAACAUCAGAUUUCAUCACAGUCGCGUGGCUGAUUUUUUUAUGUGUGGUUCUCUGUGGGUCCAGCCUGGUCCUGCUGAUCAGGAUUCUCUGUGGAUCCCGGAAGAUGCCGCUGACCAGGCUGUA
rnacentral:sRNA from 1 species